rnacentral:rRNA from 1 species
GGCCCUUAUGGGUAGGGCUUCACACGUCAUACAAUGGUCGGUACAGAGGGUUGCCAAGCCGCGAGGCGGAGCCAAUCCCACAAAGCCGAUCGUAGUCCGGAUUGUUCUCUGCAACUCGAGAGCAUGAAGUCGGAAUCGCUAGUAAUCGCAGGUCAGCAUACUGCGGUGAAUACGUUCCCGGGUCUU